CAUCAUCCCAGGUCUCAACGUGAAAGAUAACAUCCAUAGCCAAUCAUCAGGAGAGCCUGAACCUGUGGUCCUGUGUGCGACCAAAUGGAUGCUGCUGAUGGAGACCUGACUCGACCACCACCCUGGCUGUCCUCUUCACAUCUUGCUUAUACAUUCACAGUUCUACAGUUCUAUCUGGUGUCUGCUCAAAAGUAGCUGUCAUCCAAUUUGCUGAAGAACAUGAAGCAGAAAUGGAGGAUCAAAGUGAAAUCACCCAGCGGCUGCUGACCUGCAAGGAUCCAAAGCCUUUUGGCCCAGUGGACUUGUGAUGCAAAGUGGACUUAGGUGGGCUGUUGCACUCUACAGACAAGUACGCAUCCACAAACACCAUUUUAAAGACUCUAUGGACACCUGAGUACCUGGUAACUUGACAUCUCCCACAGUUGAAUAUCAAUAUUUAGAUUACU